AAUGUUUUAAAAACCGGACCGGACCGGCCGGUCGGACCGGUCCAACCGUCGGCCGGUCACCAUUCCGGUCCGAUCCGGUCAUUUAGACCGGAUUGAGAUCGAACCGAGGUUAAACCGUUCGAACCGGCGGUUCAACCGGUGAACCGGACGAACCAGCCGGUUCCAAAAAAACCGACCAAUUCAAAAGAUUUUAAUUUUUCUUUAAAAAAAAUUAGAAAAUGAAAAUAUUACCAUGGAACUUAAAAUGGAUUUUACUAAAGGAUGUUGGGCCUGUCUUAUGACACAACCCACAGCCCACAACCCACAUACCCAUUCCACUUUAUGUGGGCUGAGUUUUGAGCCCAAGUUUUG
rnacentral:lncRNA from 1 species